rnacentral:rRNA from 1 species
UACGUAGGGGGCAAGCGUUGUCCGGAAUCAUUGGGCGUAAAGCGCGUGUAGGCGGCCAGAAAAGUCCGCUGUGAAAACUCGAGGCUCAACUUCGAGCUGUCGGUGGAAACUUUCUGGCUAGAGUCCGGAAGAGGAGAAUGGAAUUCCUGGUGUAGCGGUGAAAUGCGCAGAUAUCAGGAGGAACACCCGUGGCGAAAGCGGCUCUCUGGGACGGUACUGACGCUGAGACGCGAAAGCGUGGGGAGCAAACAGG